CGCUGCUGCUGCGCGGAAAAGGAAGAGGAGGAUCGUUUUGACUCCACGAGACUAAUGUGGACCAAUUGGAAGCUCUGUGCAUUGUUGUGUUUCCUCAUCAAUUGCAGUGGUGUUUUUAUCCCGUCUGAGGUGUUCCUGGGAAUUAUUACGACUCCUGCUCUCUUGACAACUGUGUUUCUGUGGGAGGAAGAGGUGUAGGCUUCUUCAUCAAGUUUCCCUGUAGCAGUCAAAAUGACACACAGCGUCUGGCCAGGCUUGUGGUGUAUGAGUGAGAGAGAUUUCCCGUCUUCCUCGAGAUCGUUCUGAUUCUCAGCCUUUGGCAGAUGCUUCAGCCGGAAUGACUUCCAGUGCACUAAUUGCAGGGAAUGUAAUUAUGGAGCAAACUGUAGUUAAGUACUUAACUCUGGGGUUCAGUCAUGACGGAGUAUUGCAGCCUUCUCAGUAACUCUAGUUUCUGGGUGAAUUCACCACCUUUGUGUUUGUGAUCCAGAUCAUAAAUC